GAUAGCGUGCCUUUUGUAGAAUGAACCGGCGAGUUACGAUUUGUUGCAAGGUUAAGCGGAAAAAGCGGAGCCGUAGCGAAAGCGAGUCUGAAUAGGGCGCAUAAGUAACAGGGCGUAGACCCGAAACCAGGUGAUCUACCCAUGUCCAGGAUGAAGGUAAGGUAAUACUUACUGGAGGUCCGAACCCACGCACGUUGAAAAGUGCGGGGAUGAGGUGUGGGUCGG
rnacentral:rRNA from 1 species